rnacentral:rRNA from 1 species
GAUGAACGCUAGCGGCGGGCCUAAUACAUGCAAGUCGAGGGGCAUCGCGGGUAGCAAUACUUGGCGGCGACCGGCGCACGGGUGCGUAACGCGUAUGCAAUCUACCUUCAACUGGUGAAUAGCCCGAAGAAAUUCGGAUUAACACACCAUAAUAUAUUAGAGUGGCAUCACUUUAAUAUUAAAACUCCGGUGGUUGAAGAUGAGCAUGCGUGACAGUUAGCUAGUUGGUGAGGUAACGGCUCACCAAGGCGUACGAUGUCUAGGGGAUCUCGAGAGGAUUAACCCCCANACUGGUACUGAGACACGGGACCAGACUCCUACGGGAGGCAGCAGUAAGGAAUAUUGGACAAUAGUGGAAACACUGAUCCAGCCAUGCGCGUGAGGAUGACGGCCCUAUGGGUUGUAAACUUACUUUUGUACGGGAAAAAACCUCUUUACGUAUUAAAGAGCUGAUUGUACUGUAAGAAUAAGG